ensembl:lncRNA
CAGAAUCUAAAACAAAAAUCCAGAAAAUCACAUUGUAUGAUUUUUAAGUAAUUAAUUAGCAUUAUGCAAUUUCUGCAACAGUUGCAACCUCUCUGUCACCACAAGACAUAAUGUAUGCCUAUGUUACUGGGUCAUCAGCAAGAAGUGUUAGUGUCCAUGUCAAACAACAAGCCACAAUACAGGCUUUGCUGCCCCAGUAAAUUACCAGAACAUGUCUCCAUGAAGAAAAACAAACAUUUAACAAGUUGAAAUGUGAGAUAAUCAUGUGAAAAACAAGACUUGGUUCCUCUAGCUUGAAAGGAACAAGAGUAACUGUUUAACUACGUCUUGAGAAAUGUUUCCAGUAGGUGGCAGUAUAGCGGUCUGAGAAAGGACUUCCUGGAGAGAGACAGAUGCCUCUGGAUACCUCAAAAAUAACCUUAGUGCUAAAUCAGGGGUGUAGAAUUUGUGGGGACAAGGGGGUCAUUACCCCCCAAUAUUACAGACAAGUCAAUGUGACCCCCCCUAAAAAAGAAAAUCCUGGGAUCCAUUGUCCUUCACCCCCACAAUAAUUAAUACAAAACUACACUGAUGUGCUAAACUCUUGUUUUCUUAUGCUGCAGUGCCACCAGUCGUCUUGUGCAAUAUCUUAAAGAGGAAGUAAAGUAGUUCUUUCCACUCCUACUUGUAAUCCGUCAACUUGUAAAACAUAUGUGCCAACCACACGUCUCGUAUUCUCAUGGUCAGUUGGUCGUCUGAGAAGAACUCAACCUUUUGCCAUAACGAGGGAUACAAAAAUGGUCUUGAAAACAGCAGGAGGUCUGUUGGUGGCUUUUCUCUGGUCUGUGAAAGGUGUUCAUUGUAGAAACUGUUUAAAUGAAACAUAUGCCCAUCAGAGAAUCUGUGCCUUGAAGGGCUCAACAGUGG